AUUGAACGCUGGCGGCAGGCCUAACACAUGCAAGUCGAGAGAGCGGCGGACGGGUGAGUAAUGUAUGGGGACUGCCCGAUAGAGGGGGAUAACUACUGGAAACGGUGGCUAAUACCGCAUACUAUCCGAUAACCCAUAUGGGAUUAGCUAUUAGGUGGGGUAAAGAAUCACCUAGGCGACGAUCUCUAGCUGGUCUGAGAGGAUGAUCGGCCACACUGGGAAUGAUACACGGUCCAGACUCCUACGGAGGCAGCAGUGGGAAAUAUUGCACAAUGGGUGCAACCCUGACGCAGCCAUGCCGCGUGGAUGAAGAAGGCCUUAGGGUUGUAAAGUACUUUCAGCGGGGAGGCGUUACCCGCAGAAGAAGCGCAGGCUGACUCCGGGCCAGCAGCCGCGGUAAUAC
rnacentral:rRNA from 1 species